rnacentral:lncRNA from 1 species
CAUGCUCUCGUCGUCACCGGCCUCAACGACUCUGGCUCGAGCUGUAUCGUGUAUAUGUAGCCGGUCUUGGUAUGGGUCCUAGCCACAAAGAAGUAAAGGAUGUAGGUGUAGUGUAUGUUAGAGCAUCUCCAAGAGAGUGCCUUAUAAUUAUGCCCUUAAUUUUAAAACAUGUCUAAUCUAGAGAAAAUAGAGCCAAAACCAAACGGCAACCUCCAACAGUGUGCCCUUUAAUUAAUCUAAUUAGUCGUUUUUGGCCAUCAUCACAUUCUGUGCUUGGUAAUCCAUCAGAAUCAGAUUCGUAUCCUUCAACUAUUUAUAAAGUAUUUUGUCUCUAUUAAUUGCAGCUCCACCCAACAGUUGUCUUUAACCAAAUCGAACAACACAUUGUAAGCCAUCUAAUUAGGUUGUAUCUGAUCUGAUUUUGUUUCUUCCUCUUUUUUCCAUCCCUCGGUCAAGCAUAAUCCCUUAAAAGUGAUAGUGCAUUAAUUAGGUAGAAACUAGAACAAAAUCCGUACGUUGUGACGGCACACUAUUUGAUACCUAUAAAAGUAAACUUAAUAUUAGAGUCGGUAUAUAAUUCAUAUACUUAAUAUCUGGACUAAUAUUUGAUCUGUGUAUUUCAUAUUCUACAUGUUAAUAUUAUAGAAAUUCAGGUGUACCAUCUGCUACAUCAUUUAUGGCGUGUCUACCGUCUUAUCAGCAGCUGGGUUAAUUGCUACCACCACGGAACAUCUGGGAACUGGAUACUCUGUUCUAUGAUUAGGACGUCCAUUGAUAGCCAGCCACUACAGUACCUCACAAUUAAUUGCUCUGCUCAAACGUCAUCAUACCACUCGAGGCUGAAGAGGAUCGGAGACAGCCUGACAAAUGGGCGUGAUCUGUGACUUACGUCUGUUCCAAUUUUUAAAUUGUAGGCUGGUCUGGGUUUUCAUAGAUGCAUCAUUUUUAUUUUAUAUAUAAAUAUUAAUGUGCAUUAUAGAUAUGUGACAAAAAAAUAUACUAUAUCUAGAAAAGC